AACGAACGCUGGCGGCAGGCCUAACACAUGCAAGUCGAACGCCGUAGCAAUACGGAGUGGCAGACGGGUGAGUAACACGUGGGAACAUACCCUUCGGUUCGGAAUAACUCAGGGAAACUUGAGCUAAUACCGGAUACGUCCCGCGAGGAGAAAGAUUCAUCGCCGGAGGAUUGGCCCGCGUCUGAUUAGCUUGUUGGUGAGGUAACGGCUCACCAAGGCGACGAUCAGUAGCGGUCUGAGAGAUGAUCAGCCACAUUGGGACUGAGACACGGCCCAAACUCCUACGGGAGGCAGCAGUGGGAAUAUUGGACAAUGGGCGCAAGCCUGAUCCAGCCAUGCCGCGUGAGU
rnacentral:rRNA from 1 species